CAUUGCAAAUUUUGAAAAGUACAACAAAAGAAAUUGCCGAAUGGGACAAGAUCUACUCCAGAUAUACCAAUGAAGAAAGAGCUCUCCAAGGAGAAGCUAUUUUAGCUGAGAUAGGAGGAAAAGAGAAGGAUGAAACAUCGUCCAAACAUAAAGCAGAGCAUUCCUUGAAAUAAGAAAGAAUUUAGGGUGGCCAAGAGGUAUGGGUACACUGUUGUUGGCUCCAUGGGAAACAAGGUUAGAUAGAGAAGCAGAGGCUAGCCUUUAGAGGCUCUGAAUUUAAUACGCUUGGAUUUUUUCUAAAUGCAGUGGGAAGACAUUGAAGAUUUUAAGCUAGAUCAACUUACUCCAAUUCUUCCCUCUACUUUAUGGAAGAUGGAGUAAAGGGUAUCAGAGAUAGAGAACUUCAAAACACAACAAAGACUUUUUUUAGGAGACCAGGCAACCAGGGGUGGUGGUCUGGUCCAGGAUGGAGCUAGAAAGGAUUGACCACUUCAUGGCACAUGUUAGAAGGGAGAAUUGACAGAACUUGUUGAUGGCUCGGAAGUGGAAGGAAAGGUGAAAGGAGGAAGCAAAGAGGAGCCCUCUGGAUCUGGCUUGAGCAUUUGAGUGGAACUUGGUGUCUCUUGCUAACAGAAGCCAGACUACUUUCAUGGUUCAUAUCUGCAUGAAGAAGAGAACAGUUAUUCUUACUUGUUAGUGUUUCAAGUGAUGUUAGCAACACAGCUUUGGUACGUUUGCCUUUUAUCUUAUGCGUUAUCUAUUUUUUAUUGCAUCCUAAGUGUAGAUUUCUGCAGUUACGUAAUGUAUUGUAUGGAUAAUGUUGAUACCGGUUAUUUUUAAAAACAAGGAAAAUACUUCUCUUAAAAGCAGUUUCUUGUGUAUAACCCUGGAGGUGACAAUAACCCUUAUCAUGGAAAAACAAGCACAAGAGUUGAUGUAAAGCUUUCUUUCAAGUACCCAUUGUGUGGUCCAUAAUUCACCCUGAAAAGCUGAUAGUAUGAUAGCAAGAGCCCUCUCAAAUAUAUUCAUAACAAUAUACAACUGCAGAUUUCUGUUUUAUACAGGUCAGUGGAGAACCAUCACUGCUGAAUCAAUGUGUCUAACUUCUUGAAUGUCUAAAUUUAAAAAGAAUACAUUCCUGCUAAGAUUCCUAUCAACCCUUGCUGAUUAUGUUUCAUAAAAGCAAAUUCUCGUACAGUGGGCUCUUAAAAGGACCAAUUUUCUGCUUCUCUUGACUAUAUGAGACAUUCAGGAAUUAAUGAAAAAAAAAAAAAAAAAGCAAUGCCUGUCUGGCCUGUAAGCACUGCAACCUUAUCUCUGCAUAAAUUCUCACAGGUCAACUCAAAAAACAGUUCAGGGUCAAAAUCUCAUCUGGUCACCUAGAUUAAAAACUAAUUUCUCUAAAGUAUAUCCUAUAUUGAAGCUUUUUCAUGCAAAUAAAUAGCAAGGGCCUUGUCCUCUCUUCCUUUAUUAGUUGGGCAUGUCAUGAAUUUGAACAGAACAUUUUGUUCUGUGCUCUAAUUACAUGCGUUAUUAGGAAAAAUCUAUUCCUUGCAUACGUAUCAUCAGAAGCAGCUCUAAGAGUGUGGUUUCCAUCACAGGGCUCGUCACGGUGGUUCAUCGUAAUACUGACAGUUUAAUCUUUUGUUUCAUACGAGAUUAAAAGCCGCUUGAUACCCAUCUCUUCACAGCUUGGACCGUGAAUCCAGUUGGACUCCAUCCAUAUCUAAGUACCGUCUCUUUCGUGAAGUGGACUCCAUUUUCCCACAUACGCUAGGCAGCAAGGGCCCUUGGGCAAUGAUGAGCACUGAAAUACUGUCGUAUUUAGCCAUCGGAUUUAAGGCAUAAAGCAAAUGAGUUGCGAUGGAAUCAUUAUCAGAUGGGUAGCAGAAAGGAAAUUCCUAGGACAUGUCACAUUUCACAGGAGAGAGAGAUUCCAUUUCCACUGCAAUUCAGAAUGGAAGCAAGUCUGGCCUCAUUCUUUAUCUGGGAACCUCCGUAACCGUCCCUUCCAACAACGCUGAGGUUUGAUGGCAAGGAGACUGUUAGCAACAGAAAAAGGCACAAUAUGGAUCCUCUGGAACUGUAACAGAAUGUAUGGGUGAGCAGCCUGGACAGGACCAUUUUCAAACAUCCAGCAUCCAAGGGGCGAGAAGAGCUAAGCAGGAAGAGCACAUUUGAGCCAUUGUGCAGAGUCUCCCCCACCCCACCGUUAUUGCUCGUGUCUGCUUAAUAACGGGAUGUCACCUGGACUGUUCACCUUUAACCUGGAAGCCCAGACAUGCUUCCUCUAUUUCAUUAUCCAGUGACCUCUCCCAUCAGCAGCCUGUGGCUGUGAAUUCUUUAUCCCUGUGAACGUGGCUGCCAUGUGUGAUUCUGACGGAAGACGGCAAGAAGCCCUGGGCUGGGGCAGCAGGUGCAAGCUUCCAGGGAGCACGGUAGGUUUACAUUUAAUAUUGUUGGGAAAGGUUUUAUUUCAUUUUUGCCCCGGAGGAGUUUGCAAAGAGUGAACAUUUGGAUUUGUCUGUGAGGGAGGAAACUCACGAUGACUUUCCACCUUUGCCUCGUCCGGAAUUGCAGAACAGACUUAAGGGGGAAUCAAGCCUGAGACA